GUCCCAUCAGAAUCAAACAUCAGAUACUCUGAUAAACAGAAACUAGAAACUAUGAGCACUGUCCUGAAUCACAGAGGAGGAGGAGGAGGAGGAGGAGGGAGGGAGUUCUUCCUCAGCGCUCACCGCUGCCCAGAAGUCGACCUGCUGCCUCAUCAUGACUCUGAGACACAAUUUCCUCCACCGUGUCCACUAAUUCCUGCUGAGAAGAUCUCUGAGUUGCCCUGUACAAGUCAGUCUGAGGCAAAUUACCUGGACAUCUCCUCCACCCGUUGCUCUGUGGAAGAGGCGGAGGAGGAAGAGGGGAGUAUCAGUGACUGGUCGGAGGAAGAUCUUUCUCUCCACUUCUCUCCUUCAGUCAUCCUCCCAUCAGAUGAUGAAGAGUCAGAUCUAGAGAUUGGUUUCAAGUGUGUUGACAUUAAUGUGGAACCACUGGUGAAAGGUCAGGAGGGGGGGGGUUUAAAGAUGGUCCCAAAACGACAGAUUCAACUGAAGAGGAAAGACGCUAAGAACAUCAUUAACCAGGAGAAACCUAAGAAACUACAGGAUGGACCUGCUGAAGAGGGAGUUGCUAACUGUGAAGUGUCAGCCAAUGAGUUGCUCCGUCCCACCGUCCUUCACCGCCCUGAUCUGUUGCUACGGCAACAUAGUAUGCCCGCCUCCCUACACACACGCUCAACGACCAGCAGUGAUGCCGACAGCUACAGGAUCUACAGGGGCCUGGUUGCUGGGGCCAGUCAAGGCUUUCAGGUUGGAGAAAACUCGCGGCAGCGACUGCAGAAGUCCUUCUCUUUGGACGAAACUAAGACAAAGAUGGCAUCCUGCAUCAUUAAGAGUGUUCUGUCAAAGAAAAUGUUGGUGGAGCAAAACAACUCUAAAACCUCGUAUCUGCAGAGGAAACCUGCUGUGUUACCCAGCCUCCCACAGCCCGCAGACCAGCAGAGGGUGAGGGAGGGGGGAGGAGGUAAGAUGGGUGGAGGUGUGUUUAAAGGUCCAGUUCAUGUGGUGAGGGACAUGAGGAGUUUAGUUAAAAACACAUACAGCCUCCCGUUCUCCACAGCUCCAACAACAACAACAACUGAGAACAACAAGCCAGCAAACUUUAAGGUGAUUGGUCAGCAGGACAGUCCCCCCCCCACCUAUCAGCAGGCUGUGGGGGUCCAAGAUUAUGAUGAAACAAAGAGGAGCUGUCAAGCCUCUGGAAGACAUGUCACCAAAGUCACAGCAUCUCUCAGCCAAUCACAGGACAGGAAACAGAGCAACAGAUUCAGUCAUCCAAUCACACAGCAGAGACGAGGCAGCGAUCCAAUAAUAAGCAGAAGAAGAGUGGAUGAUGUCACCUGGCCUGUCAUGUUGUCAGAUCCGCCCACCAACUCAUGUGUCAGCAGUGACUUUUCAGAGCUCAGCCAAUCAGAGAGAGCCCCGUCCUGCCUUUCUGUGUUGAUGCAUCCUCCCCCUCAGCCCGCCUCCACCUCCAGACACCUCCAGGGGACUCCAUCUUUGCUUUCUGCCCAGGAACAGAGCUCCAUUCUGGGUGUACCCUCUCAGUUUGCCCUGAAUUCCUCCCAGCAGAUCCUCCAUUCCUGUUUCUACACCUCCACUGCCCUACCUGCCUUCCCCCUCACCUUGCACCCUCACCUGGGUAAGGUCAGCUACGUGCACAGCCCCCUGAGCUACAUGGAGACCCAGCUGCAGCCCCCGCAACCUGUCCCCACCCUCCACCUGCCGAGUAGGUCUGAGGAGAACCAGAGUGGGUCAACUGGAAACUCCUUCGACCAGCAAGACUGCUUCAUCAAGACCUGCCCACCUCACCAGACCAGGACAGCAGGAGACCAGCAGGGCAACUGCAACACAGUGACACCUGCAACACAGGAGCAACAUGAGCAACAGCAACGUCAGCAGCAGCACUUUGUGUACGGUGUUCAGGGUUUCUCACCUGCUCAGGUGGGUAAUGACUUUGUUGUUGAUGUCACAGGUUCUUCUGCAGCACCUGGGGCCCUCCUCAGUGGCCCCUCCCUCUGUCACAUGAUGUUAAAAAAUCCUAAAAGUGUGGGGUGCUUCUAUGUGGACACGCCCCCGAAGGCUCAGAGGAAGAUGCUGCUGGAUCCAGAAACCGGUCAGUACGUCUGGGUGUUCCUACCUGCAGCCCGCACCACCCCCAACACCGCCGUGUUCCCAGUGCGCUUUGCAAACCCUGCCCCCUUUGUGAUAAACCACACCCCUUCCACCACAAACCCUGCCAUCCUAUCAAUGAUGCAGUUCCAGCCAACGGUUGCUGUGUCCUCCCUGUACGCUGCCCCAUGUCUGCCCUUCACUCUACACACACCAUCGGUCAACUUCACACAUACAGCACCGUGA
rnacentral:lncRNA from 1 species